UCCAACAAGUGUUUUGUUGUUACUUAUGUCUUGGUACAAGAACCAAAGUAGUUUCUUAUACAAGUAACCACUACUUCACCUUUCAUGCAUUUUCCUUUUCACAUCAUCAAAAGUCCUACAUGGCACACCCUUAGUACCUGCUGACAUGUACUAUUGGAGAUGCUCUUAUGAGACGUACAUCACACCGUACAUCACAUGUACCUUAACCAAGAAACACGUACAUAGAUGAAAUAAAUUCAAAAUCACCAAGAAACAAGUACAUAGAUCAUUAUGAGACGAGUACAUCACAUCGUACAUCACACGUACCUUAAACAAGAAACAAGUACAUAGAUCAAAUAAAAUCAAAAUCACCAAGAAACAAGUACAUAGAUCAAAAUCACAAAAAAAAAACAAGUACAUAGAUCGCCA
rnacentral:lncRNA from 1 species